rnacentral:lncRNA from 1 species
AGAAAGAGCCAGAACUGAAAGAAACUGACUGUUGCAUCCAACAGGUGGACUGCAGCCAUGCAUAGAAUGAACAGAAGCAGAUCGCACCACUUCAGCUUGGUGCGCAGAUCAACCUUGCGCAAGACAGUCCUACAACACUUCCAAUCGCACCUCUUCAGACCAAUCUUGUGCAAAAAGGAGUACCUGAAAACCUUUCAGAUGCGUCCUUUCAACUUCAAUCGCAGAUCAGUCCUCUUCAGCUCCCC